UACGGGGGGAGCAAGCGUUGUUCGGAUUUACUGGGCGUAAAGGGCGCGUAGGCGGCCACCGCAAGUCGACUGUGAAAUCUCCGGGCUUAACCCGGAAAGGUCAGCCGAUACUGCGGGGCUAGAGUGCAGAAGGGGCAACUGGGAAUUCUCGGUGUAGCGGUGAAAUGCGUAGAUAAUCGAGAGGAACACCUGCGGCGAAGGCGGGUUGCUGGGCUGACACUGACGCUGGAGGCGCGAAAGCUAGGGGAGCGAACGGG
rnacentral:rRNA from 1 species